AUGUAGCUAAUAUGAUGAAUCAAUACCUCAAAUAAUAAAUGUCAUUACAUGAGCUAGAAAAUUAUAAAGAAAAGUCCCAUCGCAACAUACUUGCGAUUGGCUUAUAGGGUACUCUUCUUUCAAUCUCCCACUUGUACUAAAGUCAAUCACCUUUAUAUCUCAUAUAAUUAAGAUGGUGAUUAUAUAGCUGCUUUGGUAUGACCUUAGUGAAUGGAUCUGUUAUAUUAUUUUUCUGUCUACUCAUUCAAGGACAACAUCUUGUCUCUAACGAGAUGAAAGCGUCUGAGGAUGUGCUUGGAUUUAUAAUGAGACCUU
rnacentral:lncRNA from 1 species